rnacentral:rRNA from 1 species
GAUGAACGCUGGCGGCGUGCCUAAUACAUGCAAGUCGAGCGAACAGACGAGGAGCUUGCUCCUCUGACGUUAGCGGCGGACGGGUGAGUAACACGUGGAUAACCUACCUAUAAGACUGGGAUAACUUCGGGAAACCGGAGCUAAUACCGGAUAAUAUAUUGAACCGCAUGGUUCAAUAGUGAAAGACGGUUUUGCUGUCACUUAUAGAUGGAUCCGCGCCGCAUUAGCUAGUUGGUAAGGUAACGGCUUACCAAGGCAACGAUGCGUAGCCGACCUGAAAGGGUGAUCGGCCACACUGGAACUGAGACACGGUCCAGACUCCUACGGGAGGCAGCAGUAGGGAAUCUUCCGCAAAGGGCGAAAGCCUGACGGAGCAACGCCGCGUGAGUGAUGAAGGUCUUCGGAUCGUAAAACUCUGUUAUUAGGGAAGAACAAAUGUGUAAGUAACUAUGCACGUCUUGACGGUACCUAAUCAGAAAGCCACGGCUAACUACGUG